AUCCUUCUGGACUCCUUCCCAGAGCUAACUACAGACCUGAAAGAUUUCUUCUUCUGCGCUCUCAGGGAACAACAGUCCUUAAAGUCCAGCUCACGCUGCUGUGCUGCAGCGUCGCUCUCGGUCCCCUCCACUGCACUGGGUCUCCCCACUGCACUGGGCCCCCUCUUCACUGCACCCGGCCACUCCACCGCACCCGGUACCCCGGCCCUCUAUGGCACCCAGUUCUCUCUCCUCGGCACCCAGUUCCCCGCCCCCACCUCCGCCCCAACGGCACCCAGUCCCUCGCACCCAGCACCGCCCCCGUCCCUCGCACCCAGCACCGCCCCCGUCCCACCAACAGCACCCAGUCCCCCCGCUCCGCCACGGCACCCAGUCCCCUCAGGGCACCCGGUUCCCCGCCUCCGCCAAGGCACCCGGUUCCCCGCCUCCGCCAAGGCAACCGGUCCCCCCCCCCCCCGCCCCCCGCUACGGCACCCAGUCCCCCGACGGCUCUCGGUCUCCUCCACGCCGAGCCUCGGAGAGCAGGGGCUUUGCUUUUCCGGCUGAGGUGUUCAAUAAACAUCUCUUAAACAAAGGAGUGCGCAAGUGAGAUAAUAUAAGCUCUACGGAAAGACCUGUGUGGCUAGGAACUAAGGCCUCCUGUCAAUAGUCCUGUGUAUGAGUCAUCUUGGAAGUAGAUUGCCCAGCUGCCGUCAAGCCUUCAGAAGACUGUGGUCCUCACUGACAUCUUGCCUGCAACCUCAUGAGAGUUCCUGAGCUAGACCACCCAGUUAAGUUACUGCUGGAUUCCUGACCACAGAAACUGUGAGCUGAUGUUACGCUUCAAUCUACUGUCUGCAUUCUUAACUCUGUCUCAGCAUCUGAUUCCCAGAGGACCUAACUGAUGGUGGUUCCAGGAAUGCUCAAAGAAAACAGGUGAAACUCCACGGCAGGAAAAUCACUGGAACCUGGGAGGCGGAGGUUGCGGUGAGCCGAGAUUGCGCCAUUGCACUCCAGCCUGGGCAACAAGAGUGAAACUCCGUCUUUAAAAAAAAAAAAAAAUACAACCCCCCCCCCCCCCCCCCCCCCCCGCCAAAAAAAAACAAAAAAGAAACAGUGUUGUCAAGAAGCUUUCUCUGACUGUUCUGGGGGAUUAAAUGUUUCACUCCUUCAUUCUUAGACAACA
rnacentral:lncRNA from 1 species